UGUAUGUAGGUGUAAAGUGCACAAGAAGUUUUGAUUUUCUAAGGAUUGGUGUAAUUCCAAUAUAUAUAA
rnacentral:tRNA from 1 species